rnacentral:rRNA from 1 species
AUUGAACGCUGGCGGAAUGCUUUACACAUGCAAGUCGAACGGUAGAGGGGGCAACCCCUCGAGAGUGGCGAACGGGUGAGUAAUAUAUCGGAACGUGCCCAGUCGUGGGGGAUAACGUAGCGAAAGUUACGCUAAUACCGCAUACGAUCUAAGGAUGAAAGCGGGGGAUCGCAAGACCUCGCGAUUGGAGCGGCCGAUAUCAGAUUAGGUAGUUGGUGGGGUAAAGGCUCACCAAGCCAACGAUCUGUAGCUGGUCUGAGAGGACGACCAGCCACACUGGAACUGGGACACGGUCCAGACUCCUACGGGAGGCAGCAGUGGGGAAUUUUGGACAAUGGACGCAAGUCUGAUCCAGCCAUUCCGCGUGCAGGAUGAAGGCCCUCGGGUUGUAAACUGCUUUUGUACGGAACGAAAAGGUCUCUCUUAAUACGGGGGGCUCAUGACGGUACCGUAAGAAUAAGCACCGGCUAACUACGUGCCAGCCGCCGCCGUAA